GAUGAACGCUGGCGGCGUGCCUAAUACAUGCAAGUCGAGCGAAUGGAUUGAGAGCUUGCUCUUAUGAAGUUAGCGGCGGACGGGUGAGUAACACGUGGGUAACCUGCCCAUAAGACUGGGAUAACUCCGGGAAACCGGGGCUAAUAGCGGAUAACAUUUUGAACCGCAUGGUUCGAAAUUGAAAGGCGGCUUCGGCUGUCACUUAUGGAUGGACCCGCGUCGCAUUAGCUAGUUGGUGAGGUAACGGCUCACCAAGGCAACGAUGCGUAGCCGACCUGAGAGGGUGGUCGGCCACACUGGGACUGGGACACGGCCCAGACUCCUACGGGAGGCAGCAGUAGGGAAUCUUCCGCAAUGGACGAAAGUCUGACGGAGCAACGCCGCGUGAGUGAUGAAGGCUUUCGGGUCGUAAAACUCUGUUGUUAGGGAAGAACAAGUGCUAGUUGAAUAAGCUGGCACCUUGACGGUACCUAACCAGAAAGCCACGACUAACUACGUGCCAGCCGCCGCCGUAA
rnacentral:rRNA from 1 species